GUGGUAGGAAGGCAGCUUUUCAGGCUGAAAAUCCAACAGGCCCUGCUGCCUUCCCAUAUAUCACCCUGUCACUCAAGCUCUGGGUCGCUAGGCCCCGAGAGGUCAAGCUGGAGAAGUGAGGAAGACAUCAACAGAUGUGACAAUUCAGAGCAAUGGGGUGGGAGAAGAGAUGUCACGUAAUCAUCAGCUUCCUGCCUCUGGACCUGAUGUACUUGUGAGUUUCUUCAGGCCAUUUCUAUCCCAACAGUGAAUUUGGGAACAUGAGCUGUAUUUCCUGGAUUGUCACGGCUGAUUUUCCCAUCUGUGAAAUGACAGAUCCAUUUAGAGAAGCCUUAUGCGGCCUGUAGCACUGCAGUCAUUUUUCCUGUCACACGAGGUUCCCAAAGCAUAUAUGCAUGUUGUGUCCAAGAUGCAGAGGCAGGAUUGGGGAAAGAUCAUCUGACGAUGAGCCUCCGUCUAGGGUACAGCACGACGUGGCGUCAGAAGAAAGGUGUGUGUCAGUCUGUGGCAGAGACAUGGGGCGAGAAGGCCACUCGAGAAUGCAGCCCCUGGGAUCUAGAACUCAGUCUACCUGCUCUAGAGGCCGGAGAAUUAUGGUUAGGCAGAGGCAUGAGGUGACUCAGGGUCACCAUCUGCUUUGGAUGCUGUGGGUGCCAUUCAAAGGCUUGAAGUUAGGGGUUGUUGGAGGGCCUGUAGCCCUGAAAUUCCUCCCCUCCCCUUUCAGGAAGGACAAGGGUCAUUUCAGCCAGUACAGUGGUUUGGAGUCACCCAAUUUCUGCUGGACGAACAAAACGCCUCAUUACCAAAACUCCAGGGUUGGGUGGUGCACAUGGCGUCAGAAAUCAUCCCGCGGUCUUGCCCACCCUGGGCUCACCCUUUACGGAUCUUCAGGAGGGCAAACCUCCUCCUCCUGUCGGUGCUAAUGUCCCCGAGUGGGACUGCUUCUUCUCAGUGCCAGAGUCCAACCCGAAGCCCGUAGGGAAGCAGGGUAGGUGAAAACUAGGUCAGGUCUUGGGAAGGCUGGAAUGAUGCUGCAAAGAGAGCCACGGAGGCCACACCUACUGUAGCUGUGACUGUGCUCAGUGUAGAAUGCCUCCAUUAGAGAAUUCAAUAAAUCAGUCAACGGUA